rnacentral:rRNA from 1 species
AACGCGAAGAACCUUACCUACCCUUGACAUGUCCAGAACCCUGCAGAGAUGCGGGGGUGCCCGAAAGGGAAUUGGAACACAGGUGCUGCAUGGCUGUCGUCAGCUCGUGUCGUGAGAUGUUGGGUUAAGUCCCGCAACGAGCGCAACCCUUAUCAUUAGUUGCUACGCAAGGGCACUCUAAUGAGACUGCCGGUGACAAACCGGAGGAAGGUGGGGAUGACGUCAAGUCCUCAUGGCCCUUAUGGGUAGGGCUUCACACGUCAUACAAUGGUCGGUACAGAGGGUUGCCAAGCCGCGAGGUGGAGCCAAUCCCAGAAAGCCGAUCGUAGUCCGGAUUGUUCUCUGCAACUCGAGAGCAUGAAGUCGGAAUCGCUAGUAAUCGCGGAUCAGCAUGUCGCGGUGAAUACGUUCCCGGGUCUUGUACACACCG